rnacentral:lncRNA from 1 species
UUUUUUUUUUCUUUUUGGGCAGCAAGGGGGCCAGGCCAACCACCCCACAGCUGCCGUAGUGACGGAGAAGCAGCAGAUGCUGGAACAGCAUCUUCAGGAUGUCCGGAAGCGUGUGCAGGAUCUAGAACAGAAAAUGAAAGUGGUGGAGAAUCUCCAGGAUGACUUUGAUUUCAACUAUAAAACCCUCAAGAGUCAAGGAGGCAAGUGAGCGGCGUGAUGUGGUGUGUGGGAGGUUAGCGGUGUCACUGAGUUCAGGACCUGCCUUCAUCCGUGGGACUUCAUGGUAGGACGGGGAGCUGCUGGUCCUUCAGGGGGCCACCUUUGAAUUGUUUGGUUUUGAGAUGGGAUUUGACUAUGUAGCUCAGGCUGACCAUGAGCCCGCUACCAUCUUACCUCAGCUGUCUGAGUAGCAGGGACUGCAGUUACACACAGAGUGGAGAGCCUCAUUGAGAAGGCUGUAUGGAUCCCCUCUGCUCAAGGAGUCUUUCCUCCUCCCAUCAGACAUGCAGGAUCUGAAUGGAAACAACCAGUCUGUGACCAGACAGAAGAUGCAGCAGCUGGAGCAGAUGCUCACGGCCCUGGACCAGAUGCGGAGGAGCAUCGUGAGCGAGCUGGCAGGGCUCUUGUCAGCAAUGGAGUACGUGCAGAAGACACUGACCGAUGAAGAGCUGGCUGACUGGAAGAGGCGGCAGCAGAUAGCGUGCAUCGGA